ACAGGACCAACUUGGAAAUUAGCUCUUUAGCUUAACAUUCGCCACACACAAGACAUUUAUCAUUAAUCGCCACUGCUGUCUGUCACGUUUAGAACCUCUGUUUUAUAUUAUCAACCACCCAGCUUACCUGUAAAAACAGAAAAAUAUGACAAUCAGUUCUUUUUGGUGCGCAGGCCGUACGCUGCCUCUUCACCACUGACACUACUUCUUCUAGUGUAGCGUCAGCUACUGAUGCGUACGAGACUGAGCGCCCUCUGCUGGUGGAACUUAUACAACAGUAAAACUGACAUUGCAGUGGCCUUACUAAAAAAAAGCGUCUCUGAG